rnacentral:tRNA from 1 species
GGAUUCAUAGUAUAGUGGUAGUAUGCCUGCUUUGUGAGAGCAGGUGACCUCGGUUCGAUUCCGGGUGUAUCCU